CCCCUAGAUGUUCUGGGCCGCACGCGCGCUACACUGAACAGUUCAACAAGUCUUAACCUUGGCCGAUAGGUCUGGGUAAUCUUUGAACGCUGUUCGUGAUUGGGAUAGACCUUUGCAAUUAUGGGUCUUCAACGAGGAAUUCCUAGUAAACGCAAGUCAUCAGCUUGCAUUGAUUACGUCCCCGCCCUUUGUACACACCGCCCGUCGCACCUACCAAUUGAAUGGUCCGGUGAAAUCUCGGGACGGCGGCUUGGUCGCUUGCGUCCGACUGCUGAAACUUGAUUAAACCAUAUCAUUUAGAGGAAGGUGAAGUCGUAACA
rnacentral:rRNA from 1 species